GCCCGGUUAGCUCAGUCGGUAGAGCAUCUGACUUUUAAUCCGAGGGUCGCGGGUUCAAGUCCCUCAUCGGGCG
rnacentral:tRNA from 1 species